AAUCAACGCUGGCGGCGUGCCUCAGACAUGCAAGUCGAACGAUUAAGACUCCCUUCGGGGAGUGCAUAAAGUGGCGCACGGGUGAGUAACACGUAAGUAAUCUACCCUCGAGUGGGGAAAAACAACCGGAAACGGUUGCUAAUACCGCAUAAUGCAGCGGUACCGCAAGGUGACAGUUGUUAAAGGAGCAAUCCGCUUGAGGAGGAGCUUGCGGCAGAUUAGCUAGUUGGUAAGGUAACGGCUUACCAAGGCUACGAUCUGUAUCCGGCCUGAGAGGGCGGUCGGACACACUGACACUGAAUAACGGGUCAGACUCCUACGGGAGGCAGCAGUCGGGAAUUUUGGGCAAUGGGCGAAAGCCUGACCCAGCAACGCCGCGUGAAGGAUGAAGUAUUUCGGUAUGUAAACUUCGAAAGAAUAGGAAGAAUAAAUGACGGUACUAUUUAUAAGCUCCGGCUAACUACGUGCCAGCCGCCGCGGUAACAC
rnacentral:rRNA from 1 species